rnacentral:rRNA from 1 species
CCUACGGGUGGCAGCAGUGGGGAAUAUUGCACAAUGGGCGCAAGCCUGAUGCAGCCAUGCCGCGUGUAUGAAGAAGGCCUUCGGGUUGUAAAGUACUUUCAGCGGGGAGGAAGGUGUUGUGGUUAAUAACCGCAGCAAUUGACGUUACCUGCAGAAGAAGCACCGGCUAACUCCGUGCCUGCAGCCGCGGUAAUACGGAGGGUGCAAGCGUUAAUCGGAAUUACUGGGCGUAAAGCGCACGCAGGCGGUCUGUCAAGUCGGAUGUGAAAUCCCCGGGCUCAACCUGGGAACUGCUUUCGAAACUGGCAGGCUAGAGUCUUGUAGAGGGGGGUAAAAUUCCAGGUGUAGCGGUGAAAUGCGUAGAGAUCUGGAGGGAUACCGGUGGCGAAGGCGGCCCCCUGGACAGAGACUGACGCUCAGGUGCGAAAGCGUGGGGAGCAAACAGGAUUAGAUACCCGCGUAGUC